UACAGAGGGUGCAAGCGUUGUUCGGAAUCAUUGGGCGUAAAGGGCGCGUAGGCGGCCGAUCAAGUCAGGCGUGAAAUUCCCGGGCUCAACCUGGGGGCUGCGCUUGAUACUGAUUGGCUUGAAUGCGGGAGAGGAUAGUGGAAUUCCCAGUGUAGAGGUGAAAUUCGUAGAUAUUGGGAAGAACACCGGUGGCGAAGGCGGCUAUCUGGCCCGUAAUUGACGCUGAGGCGCGAAAGCGUGGGGAGCAAACAGG
rnacentral:rRNA from 1 species